GGAGUUAGCCGGUGCUUCUUCUGUGAGUGAUGUCCUUCCUGCCGGUUAUUGACCCGCAGGCCUUCUUCCUCACUGAAAGUGCUUUACAACCCGAAGGCCUUCUUCACACACGCGGCAUGGCUGGAUCAGGGUUGCCCCCAUUGUCCAAUAUUCCCCACUGCUGCCUCCCGUAGGAGUCUGGGCCGUGUCUCAGUCCCAGUGUGGCUGAUCAUCCUCUCAGACCAGCUACGGAUCGUCGCCUUGGUGAGCCGUUACCUCACCAACCAGCUAAUCCGACAUAGGCUCAUCCGAUAGCGCGAGGCCCGAAGGUCCCCCGCUUUCCCCCGUAGGGCGUAUGCGGUAUUAGCCUGGGUUUCCCCAGGUUAUCCCCCACUACCGGGCAGAUUCCUAUGCAUUACUCACCCGUCCGCCGCUCGCCACCAGGGAGCAAGCUCCCCGUGCUGCCGCUCGACUUGCAUGUGUUAGGCCUGCCGCCAGCGUUCAAUCUGAGCANAUACAACUACUGA
rnacentral:rRNA from 1 species